rnacentral:rRNA from 1 species
GAUGAACGCUGGCGGCGUGCCUAACACAUGCAAGUCGAGCGAUUUACUUCGGUAAAGAGCGGCGGACGGGUGAGUAACGCGUGGGUAACCUGCCCUGUACACACGGAUAACAUACCGAAAGGUAUGCUAAUACGAGAUAAUAUACUUUUAUCUCAUGGUAGAAGUAUCAAAGCUCUGGCGGUACAGGAUGGACCCGCGUCUGAUUAGCUAGUUGGUAAGGUAACGGCUUACCAAGGCGACGAUCAGUAGCCGACCUGAGAGGGUGAUCGGCCACAUUGGAACUGAGACACGGUCCAAACUCCUACGGGAGGCAGCAGUGGGGAAUAUUGCACAAUGGGCGAAAGCCUGAUGCAGCAACGCCGCGUGAGCGAUGAAGGCCUUCGGGUCGUAAAGCUCUGUCCUCAAGAGAUAAUGACGGUACGUUGAGGAGGAAGCCCGGC